UGGGUAGUUCAGGCAAUUGCGUGCGCCUUCGGGGCGUAUGAGGAAAGUCCGGGCUCCGCAGGGCGAGGAUGCCAGAUAACGUCUGGCGCAGGUAACUGUAGGGAAAGUGCAACAGAAACAUUCCGCCGAAACGGGUAAUGCCGUGGUAAGGUUGAAAUAGUGAGGUAAGAGCUCACUGCGGGUCAUGGUAACAUGACCGGCGUGUAAACCCCAUCCGGAGCAAGACCAAGAGAGGGCUAAGUGCAGUGUGUCUGCAUGGCGGCUGCCCGUCGCCGUCCGGGAGGUAGGUCGCUGGAGCGUGCUGGUGACAGUACGUCGAGAUAGAUGAUUGCUUAAUACAGAACCCGGCUUACGAACUGCCCAAAUU
rnacentral:RNase_P_RNA from 1 species